UACGAAGGACCCAAGCGUUAUCCGGAUUUAUUGGGCUUAAAGGGUGCGUAGGCGGGUUGUUAAGUCAGUGGUGAAAUCUCCGGGCUUAACCCGGAAACUGCCAUUGAUACUAUUUGUCUUGAAUACUGUGGAGGUCAGCGGAAUAUGUCAUGUAGCGGUGAAAUGCUUAGAUAUGACAUAGAACACCAAUUGCGAAGGCAGCUGGCUACACAAAUAUUGACACUGAGGCACGAAAGCGUGGGGAUCAAACAGG
rnacentral:rRNA from 1 species